CCAACUCGCACCAUGAAUCUGUCGAUGCUGUCCUCGAGGUCGUAGGACAGCUCUCUCACCUCCCUUGUCCAGAGCUUGACUUGGACGUCAGGUUAUACUCCUCCUUGAUGAGGUUGGCCAGCUUGGGCAGGAGAGUGCCCAUCGCCCCGGUGACUAUCUCCGCCAUGGUUGCUCAGAGCUCUUACUGACAAGUGAUGGCUAAUGGUGUAUACUGUGACUCUGUGAGACAGAAUCUGACCAGGUGGCUAGCAAUAAAACUGUAUACUGGAUGGAGACAGAAUCUUACCAGGGAUAGUGGGCUCUCGUGGGAAGCCUCGAAUGGCACAUCACUUGGACUUAACAUAACCUGGCUUCCAGUUGGCACGACUAUCUGUAAAGUAUUUCGUUAAUCAAGAAAGUUUUGUCUAUAUAUAUUAUUACUUUUUAGAUUUGUGUGUUUUUAUUUACCUGAAGGUUUUUUUUCCACAUGACCAUUUUGAUGAGGCAAUGAGUACAAAUUAAAACAAAUGAAUAUUAAUUACUUUUGUCUUCAAAAACAUUUUUUCCUUUUGAAUUUUUUAUGUAGCUUUUAUGGAGCCAUACAUAUCAUAGGUCUGGUUCAGCUUUGGUGGACUUGCCCUACUCUGACCAUUGGUCUGGUUUC